rnacentral:rRNA from 1 species
UACGUAGGGUGCGAGCGUUGUCCGGAAUUAUUGGGCGUAAAGAGCUCGUAGGCGGUCUGUCGCGUCGAAUGUGAAAACCCGGGGCUCAACUCCGGGCUUGCAUUCGAUACGGGCAGGCUAGAGUUCGGUAGGGGAGUCUGGAAUUCCUGGUGUAGCGGUGAAAUGCGCAGAUAUCAGGAGGAACACCGGUGGUGAAGGCGGGACUCUGGGCCGAUACUGACGCUGAGGAGCGAAAGCGUGGGGAGCGAACAGG